rnacentral:sRNA from 1 species
GAUGUUGAUGAGUAUAUGCAGGCCCAGCUCCUCCUAGCCGCUCUGAACAUUGCUACACAUGUCCUGAAGCCAGGGGGCUGCUUUGUGGCCAAGAUAUUCCGAGGCCGGGAUGUGACACUCCUCUACAGCCAGCUGCAGGUCUUCUUCUCCAGCGUGCUGUGUGCCAAGCCCAGGAGCAGCCGGAACUCCAGCAUCGAGGCCUUCGCUGUCUGUCAGGGCUAUGACCCUCCCGAGGGCUUCAUCCCGGACCUGAGCAAACCCCUGCUGGACCAUUCUUACGAUUUCAACCAGCUGGAUGGUCCCACCCGCAUCAUUGUGCCUUUUGUGACCUGUGGGGACCUGAGCUCCUAUGAUUCGGACCGCAGUUACCCACUGGACCUAGAGGGCAGCUCAGAGUACAAGUACACUCCACCCACACAGCCCCCCAUCUCACCACCAUACCAGGAGGCCUGCACGUUGAAGAAGAAGGGGCAGCUGGCCAAGGAGAUCCGCCCCCAGGACUGCCCCAUCAGCAGAGUGGACACGUUUUCCCAGCCCCUGGCCGCCCCUCAGUGCCACACCCUGCUGGCCCCUGAGGUCUGGAAAUGUGACUCUCAGCCUGCCUUGACCCCUUCCCCGUGUGCCUUUUUCUGACCCAAAUCUCAUGGUUUCUGGGGCCAAAAUUCCCUUUCCUGCCUCCCAAUAGCUAUAAAAAAUUGGUAAAGCCAAGCAUAAUGAAUGGAAAAGUUUUGCCAAA